GACGAACGCUGGCGGCGUGCUUAACACAUGCAAGUCGAACGGUAAGGCUCCAGCUUGCUGGGGUACACGAGUGGCGAACGGGUGAGUAACACGUGGGUGACCUGCCCUGCACUUCGGGAUAAGCCUGGGAAACUGGGUCUAAUACCGGAUAGGACCGCACCGUGAGGGGGUGGUGGAAAGUUUUUUCGGUGUGGGAUGGGCCCGCGGCCUAUCAGCUUGUUGGUGGGGUAAUGGCCUACCAAGGCGGCGACGGGUAGCCGGCCUGAGAGGGUGGACGGCCACAUUGGGACUGAGACACGGCCCAGACUCCUACGGGAGGCAGCAGUGGGGAAUAUUGCACAAUGGGCGGAAGCCUGAUGCAGCGACGCCGCGUGGGUGAUGACGGCCUUCGGGUUGUAAACUCCUUUCACCAUCGACGAAGGGUUUCUGACGGUAGAUGGAGAAGAAGCACCGGCUAACUACGUG
rnacentral:rRNA from 1 species